GACGAACGCUGGCGGCGCGCUUAACACAUGCAAGUCGAACGGAAAGGCCUGCUUUCCCUUGUGGAUUGCGGGUACUCGAGUGGCGAACGGGUGAGUAACACGUGAGUGAUCUGCCCCCAACUUGGGUAUAAGCCUGGGAAACUGGGUCUAAUUCCCGAUAGGACUGCAGGGUGGUGCCUGUGGUGGAAAACGAUUUUCUAGUGGUUGGGGAUGAGCUCGCGGCCUAUCAGCUUGUUGGUGGGGGAAUGGCCUACCAAGGCGGCGACGGGUAGCCGGCCUGAGAGGGUGGACGGCCCCAUUGGGACUGAGAUACGGCCCAGACUCCUACGGGAGGCAGCAGUGGGGAAUAUUGCACAAUGGGCGGAAGCCUGAUGCAGCGACGCCGCGUGGGGGAUGACGGCCUUCGGGUUGUAAACUCCUUUCGACCGCGAGGAAGCCACCUGGUUGGAAGGGUGGUGACGGUAGUGGUAGAAGAAGCACCGGCUAACUACGUG
rnacentral:rRNA from 1 species